CCUACGGGAGGCAGCAGUAGGGAAUCUUCGGCAAUGGGGGGAACCCUGACCGAGCAACGCCGCGUGAACGAAGAAGUUAUUCGUAAUGUAAAGUUCUUUUAACAGGGAAGAAAGAGAAAUUUGACGGUACCUGAAGAAUAAGCUCCGGCUAACUACGUGCCAGCAGCCGCGGUAAUACGUAGGGAGCGAGCGUUAUCCGGAAUUAUUGGGCGAAAAGGGUGCGUAGAUGGCAUAGUAAGUCUUUUGUAAAAAUGCUGGGCUCAACCCAGUAGGGCAAAAGAUACUGCAAAGCUAGAGUAUGACAGAGGCAAGUGGAACUACAUGUGUAGCGGUAAAAUGCGUAAAUAUAUGUAAGAACACCAGUUGCGAAGGCGGCUUGCUGGGUCGAUACUGACAUUGAGGCACGAAAGCGUGAGGAGCAAACAGGAUUAGAUACCCUUGUAGUC
rnacentral:rRNA from 1 species